GAUCUGUUCACUGUCCGCCAUUAGAUUAGAACAAGAACAGCAUAGAGAUUCCCGAUUAGGGAGUCUUGUUUGUCAUCCUUUAAAUUCUCUUUUCCCUCUUAUAAUUAUUCAAAACAUCAAAGAGAAAGAGGAACAAAAAGGGGAAAUUCCUCCAUUAGAUACAGAAGUUUGUUAUUAGGGUUUCUUUCUUUCUGCGUCGUAUUCUU
rnacentral:misc_RNA from 1 species